rnacentral:snRNA from 1 species
GAAUGUAGGGGUGAUAUGACUGUGACUUCUGUCACCCCAUUGAUUACUAGGGUUGAUUGGGCUAAUCUGGUUGGCUAGGUGGGUGUCUCCUUCCUCCCUCACCUCUCCAUGUGCGUCCCUUCUGAAGCUGUGUGCUCAGUUGAAGAGGAUGGACAUCCCUGAUAGAGGAGGACUGGUCUUUGGUCAAGGGUAUACAAGUACUGUGCUCCCCUGCUAGAACUUCCAAACAAGCUCCCAAGUAGCUAGGACUAGAGGUGUGCACCACCACGCCCAGCUAAUUUUUUAUCUUU